rnacentral:rRNA from 1 species
GAUGAACGCUGGCGGCGCGCCUAAUACAUGCAAGUCGAGCGAUGAGGCCCCUUCGGGGGUACAUCAGCGGCGGACGGGUGAGUAACACGUAGGUGACCUGCCCCGAAGACGGGGACAACCACUGGAAACGGUGGCUAAUACCCGAUGUGCUCGGUAAUUCGGUUUAUCGAGUAAAGCUCCGGCGCUUCGGGAUGGACCUGCGGCCUAUCAGCUAGUUGGUGGGGUAACGGCCCACCAAGGCUAAGACGGGUAGGGGGCGUGAGAGCGCGAUCCCCCACACUGGCACUGAGACACGGGCCAGACUCCUACGGGAGGCAGCAGUCGGGGAUAUUGCACAAUCGGCGAAAGCCGGAUGCAGCGACGCCGCGUGGGCGAUGAAGGCCUUCGGGUUGUAAAGCCCUUUUCUGGGGGAAGAGAAAGGACGUACC